rnacentral:rRNA from 1 species
UAGAGUUUGAUCCUGGCUCAGGAUGAACGCUAGCGGCAGGCUUAACACAUGCAAGUCGAGGGGCAUCGGGAGGGAAGCUUGCUUUCCUUGCCGGCGACCGGCGCACGGGUGAGUAACACGUAUGCAACCUGCCCUCUUCAGGGGGACAACCUUCCGAAAGGGAGGCUAAUCCCGCGUAUAUCGGUUUCGGGCAUCCGAGAUCGAGGAAAGAUUCAUCGGAAGAGGAUGGGCAUGCGGCGCAUUAGCUUGACGGCGGGGUAACGGCCCACCGUGGCGACGAUGCGUAGGGGUUCUGAGAGGAAGGUCCCCCACACUGGUACUGAGACACGGACCAGACUCCUACGGGAGGCAGCAGUGAGGAAUAUUGGUCAAUGGGAGAGACCCUGAACCAGCCAAGCCGCGUGAGGGAAGACGGCCCUAUGGGUUGUAAACCUCUUUUGUCGGAGAACAAAACCCGGGACGUGUCCCGGACUGCGUGUAUCCGAAGAAAAAGCAUCGGCUAACUCCGUG